rnacentral:rRNA from 1 species
CUCAGACAGCCAGGAUGUUGGCUUAGAAGCAGCCAUCAUUUAAAGAAAGCGUAAUAGCUCACUGGUCGAGUCGGCCUGCGCGGAAGAUGUAACGGGGCUAAACUAUGCACCGAAGCUGCGGCAGCGAACGUAUCACUUAAACUGAUUAAGUGAUAUUCAAUAGUAUCAGAACGAUUGACGGAGCAACGCGACGUCAAUGCGUCCAACAAAGUCGAGGCGGAAACGUCAGACAGUCAGUUUAAGGAUACGUUCGUUGGGUAGGGGAGCGUUCUGUAAGCCUGUGAAGGUGUACUGUGAGGUAUGCUGGAGGUAUCAGAAGUGCGAAUGCUGACAUAAGUAACGAUAAUGCGGGUGAAAAACCCGCACGCCGGAAGACCAA